CUUGGCGAAACACCGCCCCGCGCAGUAGCAGGCGGGCUACGAAAGUGCGUAACGUUCUUUACUUAGAGCCGGGGCCCCGCGUGAGAAAGACGGAGAGGAGGAGUAACGCUAUUCCUCAAAGUCAGCUGCGCAAGGAGCGCGCUCCGUAACCCCUUCUGCAGGGCAGGGAACACCCAGGCUGAGGCGCACGUUACGUAAGCGCAAGGCGUACGCAAGGGUGCCACUCACGCAUCUUCCUCAACAAGGCACACACGGCGUUUUUGGAUUGGAUGGCCAAAACCUGUCAGAGAGCUGGAAGAGAAGUGACUUGCCUGGAGUCACAGGACAAGAAAAUGAGGCUGAGUCAUACACAUGACUUAAUCUGCCAUUUUAAAAGGAUGGAAAAGGUGCUUUUUAGGAUAUGAACACUUCUACGAGACAUCUGCACUCUUCUUGGAGACAGUAUUUGGAAAGGAAUUGCCCUUUUUAGCUCGCCUCUGGUAGCACAGUUGGUACAGGACUACAUGUCAAGGAGACAUCACAUCUCCUGCGAGCAGGAGUUCCUGGUUGCCCCUUAUGUGAGCUUGGAAUGGCAGAAGGGAUUGGAGCGGCAUCUCAGCCUGUUUCAAGGGGCUUGUAAAAACUUCCCCAUCCUCUGCCUGUGGGAGGUUAAGGGCACCUUUUCCAAGACAUUUCUUAGCCAAGUCAGGAAACGAAGCAGCACAACCCACGGCCCUGUGCCAUCAGCAGCACACCACAGGAGUGCUCGCGGGGUCUGCAUUCGAAAUACCAAGCAAUUUCUUUAAGUACCAAAAGUCCAAUCCUGGGAGCCCAAGGCUUUGUUUAUACAGAGGAAGUGGCUGGCACAGCUUUUGAAAACCGCAUUAUUCCGCAAGAGCUAUUCCAGUAGAGCACUUAGGCAGACAGCCCUUUAAAGGCGAGUUCCUUCACAAAGUAUGCUUUUAUUCCAGAACAGAAUGUACAUGCAGAGGGUGACCCUUCUGGUGCUGCUAAGCAGCUCUGCAGCAGAUAAUACCUCACUCUGUGUAUCCCUUCAUGAUCCUUUUAGAUUGUAAAAUGGUUCUCAGAAAGGUCAAUGAAUGCACAGAAUCUUAAGACCAUUUCCCACUCCGAAAAGCUACUUUGGGCAAUAAAUUGCAUUCUACAGCUUCAAAA